rnacentral:rRNA from 1 species
AUCUGGUUGAUUCUGCCAGUUGAUAUAUGCUUGUCUCAAAGACUAAGCCAUGCAUGUCUAAGUAUGAACAACUUUAUACUGUGAAACUGCAGAUGGCUCAUUAAAACAGAGAUAAUUUAUUUGAUGGUUAACUUACUACAUGGAUAACCGUGGUAAUUCUAGAGCUAAUACAUGCACAAAAGUGUGGAACUUGUUUUCACGCUGUAUUUGUUAGAUUAAGAACCAAUCGCUAGCUUGCUAGUGUAUUUUGGUGAAUCAUAAUAACUGUUCGAAUCGCAGUGCCUUUAUUGGCGGCGAUGUUUCAUUCAAAUUUCUGCCCUAUCAGCUUUAGAUGGUAGUGUAGUGGACUACCAUGGCUUUCACGGGUGACGGGGAAUGAGGGUUCUAUUCCGGAGAGGGAGCCUGAGAAACGGCUACCACAUCCAAGGAAGGCAGCAGGCGCGCAAAUUACCCAAUCCCAACACGGGGAGGUAGUGACAAGAAAUAGCAAGACUGGAAGUUUCAUCUUCUGGUUUUUGCAAUGAGUGUAAUGUAAAUGCCUAUGCAAGUAUCCAUUGGAGGGCAAGUCUGGUGCCAGCAGCCGCGGUAAUUCCAGCUCCAAUAGCGUAUUCAAAUGUUGUUGCAGUUAAAAAGCUCGUAGUUGGAUAUCAGAACUCGUGGAAUUGGCCCGUCGCCUUUGUGUGAUUGAGUGCUAGUGAAGCGGUUCUUUCUUUUCCGGAGAGGGGCUCUCCCCUUAAUUGGUGGUGGAGUUUCCAACUUGGAUCUGUUACCUCGAAUAAAUUAGAGUGUUCAAAGCAAGCUUACGCUGUGAAUAUUUUAGCAUGGAAUAACGACAUAGGACUUUGUUGUCUAUUUCGUUGGUUUCUAGACUCGAAGUAAUGAUUGAUAGGGACAGUUGGGGGUGCUGGUAUUAUAUGGCCAGAGGUGAAAUUCUCAGAUUCAUGUAAGACCAACUCAUGCGAAAGCAUUCACCAAGGAUGUCUUCUUUAAUCAAGAACGAAAGUAGGGGGAUCGAAGACGAUCAGAUACCGUCGUAGUCUCUACCAUAAACUAUGCCGACUAGGGAUUGGAGGACGUUGAUUACUCGACUUCUUCACCCCCUUAUGAGAAAUCAAAGUCUUUGGGUUCCGGGGGGAGUAUGGUCGCAAGGCUGAAACUUAAA